UUAAAAAAAGAAGCAUGUAACCUCUUUUCUAAUUUGAGGAGUUUUUAGCCGUGCUGCCCAAAUCAUGGUCAGAGAUGAACGGAAUGGACGGACAGGAAGGAGACUGAGGGCGUGUGGGUCUGGCCUGCCGACUGAACUGUGACUGAGAUGACGCGCUCUCGCUGCUCGAGUCUUUUGGCUGUGACGUGAUGGGGAAGUCCUGAGACACAGUGCGGCCUAAGCUGCUGGCAUAGGAAACGGGCGGGCUGGGCAGUCCACAGGAGGCCAGAGUCAGGCUGGAUUACAACUGGAUUGGUUAGGAAGGGAGGGUCUUACAGUGCAAUGGAGCUUUUGGCAGCGUGAGGAUUUGUGGGAGGAGCAUGUCAGUCAAACAAGAGCCCACACCCUGUCGGGUGAAUGGAGGCACCAACUAAACAAAGUGUACGGACCACACACACACACACACACACACACACACACCAUGGCAGCACCCUGAACACCUACACAGGAAUCUGGACAUGUCCUUCAACAACCACCUUGUUUCCACAGAAGAACCAACAAAUGACUGACAGGCUGCAAACGAGGACAUAAAUGACUGAUGUGUGUUCAUCAUCCAAAAAAUGCCCGUGAAAACUACCCUACGUAUCCGGUUGCAUCACUGACUGGUGUCCCUGUGAAGCGAGCGCAUUCAUGUGGAUCAUACUUAUGUAAACAGACACCUUUUACACAGGAGGAAUCAAUAUUGCAUGAUGACAUAAUCAGGUCACAGUUCAAAAACAGGAAGAUCCCAAAUCAGAGAAAAAAGUAAAGCAAAAGGAA